GGAAUAAUGGACAAUGGAGGCAACUCUGAUCCAGCCAUGCCGCGUGCAGGAAGACCGCCCUACGGGUUGUAAACYGCUUUUAUACAGGAAGAAACCUACCUACGUGUAAGUAGCUGACGGUACUGUAAGAAUAAGSAUCGGCUAACUCCGUGCCAGCAGCCGCGGUAAUACGGAGGAUCCAAGCGUUAUCCGGAAUCAUUGGGUUUAAAGGGUCCGUAGGCGGUCWAUUAAGCAGAGGUGAAAUCCCACAGCUCAACUAUAGAACUGCCUUUGAUACUGAUAGACUUGAGUUAUUGWGAAGUAGUUAGAAURUGUAGUGUAGCGGUGAAAUCAUAGAUAUACACAGAAUACCGAUUGCGAAGCAAUUAUAACAAUAUA
rnacentral:rRNA from 1 species